CACGCGCCUGGCUUGCGAAGUUGAGCACGCAUCGCCGUAGAAACAUAUAUGUCUUCCCAAUUCUAUACCGACUGAUCGAUCAAACGAUACUAAAUGAACGAUAUGGUUGUUUAUUGUUGAAGUGUAUCCUAUCCGAUAUUCAACAAAGCCAAAGGAUUUAUUUUAUAAUGGAAGAUUUCCCAAACAUCGCCAACUGUGUGUGUAAACAAUAGUGCUAUCUUGACUGUGAAAGCACAGGAUUAAAACCCGUUAUGGACUGUAAAAUUCCUUUCAUUUACAUUGCUGAAACUCAACGAUCAAGAAUGAUUAUGUCGAAGACUCGAA